GAUGAACGCUAGCGGCAGGCCUAACACAUGCAAGUCGAGGGGCAGCGAGAAUGAAGCUUGCUUCAUUUGUCGGCGACCGGCGCACGGGUGCGUAACGCGUAUGUAACCUACCUUAAACAGGGGCAUAACACCGAGAAAUUGGUACUAAUUCCCCAUAACACUUUGGGAGGCAUCUCCUGGAGUUGAAAGUUCCGGCGGUUUAAGAUGGACAUGCGUUGUAUUAGAUAGUUGGUGAGGUAACGGCUCACCAAGUCGACGAUACAUAGGGGGACUGAGAGGUUAACCCCCCGCAUUGGUACUGAGACACGGACCAAACUCCUACGGGAGGCAGCAGUGAGGAAUAUUGGUCAAUGGACGCAAGUCUGAACCAGCCAUGCCGCGUGCAGGAUGACGGCUCUACGAGUUGUAAACUGCUUUGUAUGGGAGCAAUAAGUCUCACGUGUGGGAUGAUGAGAGUACCUUACGAAUAAGCAUCGGCUAACUCCGUGCCAG
rnacentral:rRNA from 1 species